rnacentral:misc_RNA from 1 species
GAAUGAAUGGAGAUUUUGGUAAAUUGCUGUGGAUCUCCUUGUCCCAGUACCGGAUAAGAUAUGCUUUUGGCGUAAGUGGACCGUCACCGGCCAGCAGUACCCUGGCACCGGCUGAACUCGCAUCGAGCAAGAAUGGGAAGCAGAAGAAGAUGAAGAAGAAGAAAGGGGAAAUUGGGUGAGCUUGCAUUUUCUUUACAAGCAAAGACGAGCGAGAAUGUUGGUGGGUUUGUAGGGUUGUGAAGUGAAGAAAUAUAUAAAAAGGAUUAGACAGAUGGGGAGAGAGAAAGAGAGUUUAUUUUUUUUAAUGGUGGAUUUGGCCUUGUGGUUAGUUAGUGAGCUUUGACACUUGAGGCUCCUUCUCCUCGUUUAGGCAUCACUGGUGAGUGGCACCAAGAGAAGAGUGACUCAAAGCUCUCUGUUGGAAGAGGAAUGAGGAAUGGGACUAUAUUUAUAAGCUCUAAAGAACACAGCAACUACAAAAGAGCUUCUAAAAACUUCAAGCAAUUAGCUUUUCCAUAAGUAGGCUGCAAAAUCU